AGUGAACGCUGGCGGUGGGCCUAACACAUGCAAGUCGAACGGCAGCACAGUAAGAGCUUGCUCUUACGGGUGGCGAGUGGCGGACGGGUGGGGAAUACAUCGGAAUCUACUUUUUCGUGGGGGAUAACGUAGGGAAACUUACGCUAAUACCGCAUACGACCUACGGGUGAAAGCAGGGGAUCUUCGUACCUUUCGCGAUUGAAUGAGCCGAUGCCGGAUUAGCUAGUUGGCGGGGUAAAGGCCCACCAAGGCGAGGAUCCGUAGCGGGUCUGAGAGGAUGAUCGGCCACACUGGAACUGAGACACGGUCCAGACUCCUACGGGAGGCAGCAGUGGGGAAUAUUGGACAAUGGGCGAAAGCCUGAUGCAGCCAUACCGCGUGGGUGAAGAAGGCCUUCGGGUUGUAAAGCCCUUUUGUUGGGGAAGAAAAGCAGCAGGUUAAUACCCCGCUGUUCUGACGGUACCCAAAGAAUAAGCACCGGCUAACUUCGUG
rnacentral:rRNA from 1 species